GACGAACGCUGGCGGCGUGCUUAACACAUGCAAGUCGAACGGAAAGGCCUUUUCGGAGGUACUCGAGUGGCGAACGGGUGAGUAACACGUGGGUGAUCUGCACUGCACUCUGGGAUAAGCCUGGGAAACUGGGUCUAAUACCGGAUAGGACCGCUCUUUAGAGUGUGUGGUGGCAAGUUUUUUCGGUGUAGGUUGAGCCCGCGGCCUAUCAGCUCGUUGGUGGUGUAAUGGCCUACCAAGGCGCCGGCGGGUAGCCGGACUGAGAGGUUGAUCGGCCACAUUGGCACUGAGAGGCGGCCCAGACUCCGACUGGAGGCAGCAGGGGGGAAGAUUGCACAAGGGGCGCAAGCCUGAUGCAGCGACGCCGCGGGGGGGAGGACGGCGUUCGUGUUGGAGAAGCCUUGCGCCAGGGACGAAGCGUUUUGUGACGGUACCUGGAGAAGAAGCACCGGCUAACUACGUG
rnacentral:rRNA from 1 species